CACGAACCGUCCAAACGUUAUUCGGUAUCAUUGGGUUUAAAGGGUCCGUAGGCGGGUUAAUAAGUCAGUGGUGAAAGUCUGCAGCUCAACUGUAGAAUUGCCAUUGAUACUGUUAACCUUGAGUAAUUAUGAAGUGGUUAGAAUAUGUAGUGUAGCGGUGAAAUGCAUAGAUAUUACAUAGAAUACCGAUUGCGAAGGCAGAUCACUAAUAAAAUACUGACGCUGAUGGACGAAAGCGUAGGUAGCGAACAGG
rnacentral:misc_RNA from 1 species